GUCAAGAAGUAUUUAUUAACAGCCGACUUUGUCUGUACAGCGUUGCAGAAAAGAACACCAAGGGUCGGAGGAUCGUACCUGAGGUCACGUACAGGGUUCCGCCGCGGACCGGAAAGUCAAGUCAGCAAAGUAAAGAGCAAGAGUUCAGAAAAGCCUCUUCCCAAACCUCGGCUGCGGCCCCGCCCCUUCCACCGGUUCAGGCCCCGCCCCCCUCUCCUAUUGGCUGGCCCUCUACCUCCACUCGACCACUCGGAAGACCCGGAGGAGUGGAGUUUUCCAAAGGCAGCCUUGGUGCGCCCUUGCUGCGCAUGCUCGCGGGAAGCCAGAUUCCGGUGUCUUCGAAAAAGUCAGGAUAAAUCUCCUUUUGGGGGAGACACCACUAGAGUGGAGCGAAUACUCUUUCCUUCUGGAAUCUGGAGUGGAAUUCCUUACAGAAUAUAAGGAACAAGGUCACACAGAUGAAAACUAGCAGAAUUAUGCUUUAUUAUGAUUGGAUUGUACCAGAAGAAAUUUCUUUGAGGUACAUAAAAAAGCUUUCCAGGCAGGUGGAACCAUUUCAUUAUUUACUAAGAUUAUCAGAUAUUCCAGAUUUCCUAGAACUGAGAGGUUUCCCAAGAUAAUAAGACUAAAACCUGGAUGGUCCUGGACAAACCAAAAUGAUUUGGUCACCUUCCUGUUCAUUUUAUCAAUUAAUGGAAAUGACCAGCAAUACCAUUGUAUACAUGAUCUCUGUGUAUAAAGAAGUAAUGUCCCUGUAUUGAUUAAAAUUAAGUUCCAUAUUCUGUAGUUUACAUUUUAAUAAAACACUUAUUUUAUACUUUGUGGUUGCUAAAUCUUUGAUAUGUUCAGAAGAGGUGACUGGUUGGUUCCACCAUCUUUAUCUUUGCUACACUUGAGUUUUACGUUUUAUGCAACUGGUACAAGAGCUUUGCCCACAUUCAGGGUUUCUGACCUUUAAGGAUCCAUAUUCGUUCGACUAACCUUCCCUGUUUUAUUACUGAGUUGUUUCCUGUGUGUUAAUGCUAUCUUCAAAACUAGACCUACAAUUAAAGCAGAAACUUUGACUUCUAUCAUCUUUGUAUCUUUGCUAUGAAGACUAGGCAACUUGUAAGUAUGUUCAUUAAUUGAUCAAGGCCAAUGGAUUUGUGACAGUGCUUCUAACCUCCCACAAUAAAAACAAUAGUCUUCAUUAAGUGAUUACUUUGUGUCAAAGUACUAAAUAUUGUACAUGUUUUAUACUAUUUAAUCUUUAUUAUGACAUGAGAUGGGUAGCUUUGCUCUUCCUAGUCUACUGAUACAAAAGAAUGAGCCAUAGAAAAGAUAACUUCACACAGCUCUUAAGUGGCAGAACUGUAAAUGAAAUCCAAAAUCUUAACUCCAGUUGGAUCUUGAGAAGUAUACCAGAUUGUUUCACAUAUUUGCCCUUCUUCUCCCCUCUUUCCUGGUUAUGGAUCCAUAAUCCACUGAGAUACUGAAGUGGCAGUUUUUAGUUGUUCAGAUUCCUUUUUCUGUAUAACCCUCUGCAGUGCAAUAAUCAUCUGGUGAGAGACCUUACGUAUAUCCUGUUACUUCCUUUGUAUUACCAAUGCUUUUGUUGAGGUACACUUAAUCUCAUAUCAGAACUCAUACCUGCUCAGGUUAUUUUUUCAAACUGCAAUUCUUAUUAUUGAAACCAAACUAUGCAUGAUUUAGUAUAUCAUAGAAUCUAUUCCAUAGGAUCCUGUUCAUCUUAUCUCUAUCUUUUUGUCCCAUUGUCUACUCACACUAGUAAUUCUCCAGGUGCUCCAUGUUUUCUGUCUUCUUCAUUCUGUUUUGAAGAUUAUACUUCAAGAUGGCGGUUUACUCAAAGGUUGUCUUCUCUGUGACCCUUUCUUGGUCCCACUGGAUUGGAUUAUUUGCUUUCUCUUAUGUGCCCCUGGUAUACUACUUACAUUUUAUAUCCAUUUUAGUAAUUAUCACUCUGAAAGCUAUUUAUUUCUUCACAGGUUGUCUCUUCACCAGACUAUGAGCUCCUUGAAAGAAAGAAUCGUGUGUUACUCAUCUUUAUAUCCCCAGUGUCUAGCACAGCUCUUGAUACCUAGUAAGUAACAUUUUUUAAAUUAAUAAGGUACUUAACAAACUCAGUGUGUGUUGGUAGUUA
ensembl:lincRNA